GUCUGCCGCCAAGUCUGGGGCUGCUUUGUUUUUUCCUGCACGUCGCCCGUAUUCACAGGCGACACUUUCUAGUGACGCGGAUACUCUUUGUGAAUCGGGAGAAUCUCUACGCUUGCAUCCUUCGCGUGAGAUGUCGUUUGGAAACCGACGCAGCGUUCCUGACUCCAGGAAAACUUCCUUCGAAAACCUCGAUGUUUGAUUUCGCACGCCUAAAGUACAGCUACAGCCAGACCCCUGACGAAGCGAAAGUGGGAAGCAGCUACAUCACUAGCGGGUAUUCAGAUGAAGCAAGGAGUGUUCAUGCUGUCCGUGUAUGCUCCUCGCAAGUCACCGAUAAUGUGUACCUGGAUGAGAACAUCAUGGAAGUGCAACUUGGAUUGACACAAAAAAGGAUACUUGACGCCGUUCCGACAGUGUUCCACGAACAAAGCGAGCCAGCAACUUCGACACUGCAGGCAGCUCGACAGGGUCAAAUACAAGUGGACCAGGUGCUGCUGAUUCAAGUCCCAUCCAUCCAUGAAACGGCAUCAAACAUGUACGUGCGUGCACGGCAAUUUUGUUGAGAGACCUGGUUUUUACACUAAUGCCUU